CCUACGGGUGGCAGCAGUGAGGAAUAUUGGUCAAUGGGCGGAAGCCUGAACCAGCCAAGUAGCGUGCAGGAUGACGGCCCUACGGGUUGUAAACUGCUUUUAUACGGGAAUAACGCGCCUUACGUGUAGGGCUUUGCAUGUACCGUAUGAAUAAGGACCGGCUAAUUCCGUGCCAGCAGCCGCGGUAAUACGGAAGGUCCGGGCGUUAUCCGGAUUUAUUGGGUUUAAAGGGAGCGUAGGCCGGAUGUCAAGUGUGCUGUAAAAUGUGCGGGCCCAACCCGGUCCUGGCAGGGGAAACUGGCGUGCUUGAGUGGGCGGGAAGCAGGCGGAAUGCGUGGUGUAGCGGUGAAAUGCAUAGAGAUGACGAAGAACCCCGAUUGCGAAGGCAGCUUGCUGCAGCGGAACUGACGCUGAUGCACGAAAGCGUGGGUAUCGAACAGGAUUAGAUACCCGUGUAGUC
rnacentral:rRNA from 1 species